UACGUAGGCAGCAAGCGUUGUUCGGAGUUACUGGGCGUAAAGCGUGUGUAGGCGGUUUGCCAAGUCCGGUGUGAAAUCUCCCGGCUCAACUGGGAGGGUGCGCCGGAAACUGGCAGGCUAGAGUGCGGGAGAGGAGAGCGGAAUUCCUGGUGUAGCGGUGAAAUGCGUAGAUAUCAGGAGGAACACCGGUGGUGUAGACGGCUCUCUGGACCGCUACUGACGCUGAGACACGAAAGCGUGGGGAGCAAACAGG
rnacentral:rRNA from 1 species